rnacentral:lncRNA from 1 species
UGGCUUACUUCAUUUAUUUAUGUAUGCUUCACAGCUGCAGCAUUCAUACAUGAACAUUCAAAACUUUAUAAAAGAUUAAAAUGGUUAUAUAUACAAAAUUUCUUUCUUUGAAUGUGUGUUGUUUUAACAAACCCCCUCCCUCCAGAACCCCAGGUCUAUAUCCAUUUGAAAUGUGUUGAUCUGUAAUCUUGCAAGUUAGUGUUAAGAAAGCCAUUAAAAAGGAGACCCAGUUGAGUUAAUAAUUAGCACUUUGACCCCUAGAAAAUGCUCCUGGUCAUAGAAAAGUCCUCCAUUCAGGCCUUUCUUGUAAGUGAAAAAAAAAGGAACGCAGCCAAACUACAAAAAGCAGCCGAACCAAUGAUUAAAGACCUCUAAGGCUCCGUAAUCAUCAUUAAAUAUGCUUGAACUCAGUGACUUUUUAUUUUAUAUACAGGAUUAAAAUCAACAUUAAAUCAUCUUAUUUACAUUGCCAUUGGUGCUGAAAUGGAGCUUUUUAAAUAGUACAGUAGGCUGGUAUACAUUAUAAAAUGGUCUGCACUGGAGGCAAAUA